CCCCAUAUAGUUUCAGUUAUAAUAAAAAUAGAGAUCUUAACAUCAGAAUUCUGCUGUUAACUCUUCAAGGUUUCUCUGUGCCAUCCAAGCCACACAUAGGGUUUGAAGCACCAAAUCCACAAGUUUCUACAACCAGGUUUAAAUAAACAAAAACUGAAGACUGAAGGAUGCCAAAGUAACUGUUCUUAAAUGAAGCUGUAACACAAAGUUCUCCCCAAAACUCAGGGUAUUAAGCGUCUAGUUCAAGCACUGCCAGGCUGUAUGUAGAUCUGUCUCAGAAAGGCUUCAGACAACGACUACAAGUACCACUGGUUCUAGAGGGCAUCAUCCAGGAUACCAAGGCCGAGCAGGGAUCCCUUUGCCAUCAUGACUUUUAAAAAGUUGCAGCCCCCCUUGUGAUUGGUCGAGGCAGGGUCAGUGCCGAACCUGGGGUUUGAGCGGAGGAAGGGAGCCUCCUCCUGGGCAAGGAGGCUCUAUCUUCAGUGUGAACAGUUCUCCUUUCAGAGCACUCUCUCAGGGCCGACCUGGUUUCUCAGGAUCCAUUCCCUUGCCCAGAAGAGAGAGCCUCACUCCGACCCAGUAACAGUGAAAGAAGAGUCGACCUACCUGUGGAACCAGACACAACAUGGUCCCCAAAGGCCGCUUAAGCGACCCCACUGCAACUGACAAGUCAACUUGCGCACUUAAAGCGUAUCAGUUUAUGGAACGCUUGUUUGAAGUCCUCAUUGGACAUGGUAUAGAUGAUGGGGUUGAUGAGGGAGUUCAGAUAGCCCAGCCACGUGAAAAAGUCAAAGAUGGCCAAGUGGAACCAACAGGCAUCCUUGCAAAUCGGCAUCACCAAGGAGAUGAUGAAGAAGGGCAGCCAACACACAAUAAACGCUCCCAGAAUGAUCCCCAGGGUUUUGGUGGCUUUGCGCUCCCUAGCGGCCAUGAGUUUCUUCUUCUCCACUAGAGCGUCGGAGACUCGCACUUUGACUUGGUUCACGUACACAGGAGACCCCGACUCGCUGGGCACGUCGGGAGCCCGCGAGUUAAUGGAGGUGACCGAGGACGUGGACCCGGGGGAGUCGGUCAUCAGCUGGGCUCGGGUCAGACGCUUGCCGGUCCUAUUGGGCGUCUGUUUCAAAAUCCGGGAGCGGGCUUCCACAUAGAUGCGGCUGUAGAGGGCGAUGAGGAGCAAGGUGGGGAAGUAGAAAGCGCCCACCGUGGAGUAGACCGUGUAGAGGAUGUGGUCGGUGUUCACCAAACAGUCCAACACUUCUUCCUCGGCUUUGGCCUGGCGCCAAAAGAAGGGCGGCAGCGAGAUGGAGAUGGAGAAGACCCACACCAGCGCGAUCAUGACUGCCGCCCUCUUGGGAGUCCUUUUAGCUGAGUACUCCACGGCGUCCGUGAUGGCCCAGUAGCGGUCCAGGGCGAUGACACAGAGGUGCAGGAUGGAAGCAGUGCAACAGGUGAUAUCAGACGACAGCCAGAAGUCGCAGACCACCUGGCCCAGCGUCCAGCGGCCGGUGACCACAUACAUGGUGCUGAUGGGCAUCACCAGGAUGGAUACGAGCAGGUGUUUGCACAUGGGCGCACGUGUGUGAAACACGCAAGACAGCCGGGAACCUUCACAGCCGCCUCCGCCGCGGCGCCCUGCGGUCCGCGCGCCCGCUCCGCAGUCCUCGGCAGCGCCGGGAGGAACUCCCCUUGAAGAUUUCGGGAAAGUCAGCCCGCACAGACUCAGCAUGAAGCGCAAGAAGAAAACAGGGAUCGAGAUGAGCUCCACGCCGGUGGACUUGCAGCAGGGGCUGAGGAGAUAGAGGAUGGCGCUGAAACCCCAGUGAAGCCUGUGAUGUACGCGAAGCCUGACACGGUGGUGAGCUGCCCAGGUACCAGAGAAGAAUCAC
rnacentral:lncRNA from 1 species